AUAGAACUACUGAGCCAGUGCAUCC
rnacentral:piRNA from 1 species